GGGGGCGAAACGGCUUCGACGGGGAUAUGUAAGCUCAAGCUGCAUGCCGAGGUUUCUAUCUGUCUCGUUAACUAGGUAGAGAAAAUAUAGUCGCAGACGACUAUGCAUACGCUGUAGCCGCAUAGGCUACCGUUCUGCCGGCCCACUCCCGCGGGGCUGGUAAGAACGUCGCUAGCGGGAUAGCUGCCGGAACGUACCCACGGUUCCUUAAGCGAAAUUUACAGAGGGAUAGCGCUGAGAUCUCUUGUCCUGGUGGGGUCAAGGCGCGAUAAGCAAUGAUUCAGGAAUACGCAUGUAGACGUUUGAAGGGGAGUAUUUUCGGACCCGGGUUCAACUCCCGGCGCCUCCACCA
rnacentral:tmRNA from 1 species